rnacentral:rRNA from 4 species
GGAGGGAGCUGUCGAAGGUGGGACUGGCGAUUGGGACGAAGUCGUAACAAGGUAGCCGUACCGGAAGGUGCGGCUGGAUCACCUCCUUUCUAAGGAG